rnacentral:tRNA from 3 species
AGAGAGGUGGCCGAGUGGUUUAAGGCGCACGCCUGGAAAGUGUGUAUACGCCAAAAGCGUAUCGGGGGUUCGAAUCCCUUCCUCUCUG